CGCGUAGGCGGGAUGGCAAGUCGGUCGUGAAAUCCUUCGGCUCAACCGAAGAACGUCGGCCGAUACCGCCGUUCUUGAGGGAUGCAGAGGAGAUUGGAAUUCCCGGUGUAGCGGUGAAAUGUGUAGAGAUCGGGAGGAACACCGGUGGCGAAGGCGGGUCUCUGGGCAUCUCCUGACGCUGAGGCGCGAAAGCGUGGGAGCAAACG
rnacentral:rRNA from 1 species